CCUACGGGAGGCAGCAGUGAGGAAUAUUGGUCAAUGGGCGAGAGCCUGAACCAGCCAAGUCGCGUGAGGGAGUACUGCCCUAUGGGUUGUAAACCUCUUUUGUCGGGGAGCAAAAGCCGGACGUGUCCGGCUGUGAGAGUGCCCGAAGAAAAAGCAUCGGCUAACUCCGUGCCAGCAGCCGCGGUAAUACGGAGGAUGCGAGCGUUAUCCGGAUUUAUUGGGUUUAAAGGGUGCGCAGGCGGGUUUUUAAGUCAGCGGUAAAAUCGUGGGGCGCAACCCCCUCCAGCCGUUGAAACUGGGGAUCUAGAGUGUGCGAGAGGUAUGCGGAAUGCGUGGUGUAGCGGUGAAAUGCAUAGAUAUCACGCAGAACCCCGAUUGCGAAGGCAGCAUACCGGUGCACAACUGACGCUCAGGCACGAAAGCGUGGGUAUCGAACAGGAUUAGAUACCCCAGUAGUC
rnacentral:rRNA from 1 species